rnacentral:lncRNA from 1 species
GACGUGUCCCCACCAGAAACGGCGACGGUUUUGUCGAAUUCAACGGUGUUUCGUGUUGCAGUGGCUGCCCCAAUCCAUGACGGCAACCCCUGCUUUGUUGAUGUUGAUCCCACCAUCAAUUUUUUUUUAACCUUUCAGGUUGAACAAUUUUUUUGUUUUUGUAUUGAAAUUAAUUGAAAUUUCUCACUCUUUCUGUGUAUAGAGGUGGACAAUUGAAUAUUAACGAAAUUUUGGAUACUUUUUCAGAAAAUUGUAGCUUGAACAAUUUUUCUUUCGAAAGAAUGGAAAUUUCUAGGGGUUUCUGUAAUUUUUCUGGAGGUGGAAAAUUGAUUUUUAUUUGAAUAUUUUGCAUGGAGAAAAUGAAAUGAGAAGCAAAGUGAAUAUGUGGCGUGGCGUGGCGUGGACAUAAGGGCGCCAAGCAAACAGGAGGAACAAAUUUUUUGUUUUUGUAUUGAAAACUAAAUGAAAAUUCUCACUCUUUAUGUGUAUAGAGGUGGACAAUUGAAUUUUAACAAAAUUUUGGAUACUUUUUCAGAAAAUUGUAGCUUGAACAAUUUUUCUUUCGAACGAAUGGAAAUUUCUUAGCGUUUCUGUAAUUUUUCUGGAGGUGGAAAAUUGAUUUUUUAAUUUUAUUUUAAUAUUUUGCAUGGAGAAAAUGAAAUGAGAAGCAAAGUGAAUAGGUGGCGUGGCGUGGACACAAGGGCGCCAAGCAAACAGGAGCGGCGGCUGUUUGAUAUCGUAUGAGAUCACUGCGCACGUAACCUCAAAAUCUUUUUU